rnacentral:lncRNA from 1 species
GCAUCUUCAGAAAACUUUUUGUGCUGCGUGAAAAAUAAAACAUUGUUUGUGCUGCGUGAAAAAUGAAAUUAAUGAACAAGAAAAAGAAAACAAAAUUAUUAAAUGACUAAAAGACCCCUAUGUAGGGUUGCGUUAGCCUCCUAUAAAUAUCGAACCAGUGGCCGCUCAACCCAUUUCAUUUCAUCCAAACAAUUCGGCGGCGGCUCCUAAACGAAUUGAUAGACAGAUUAACUCCGUGAAGAUUUUGGGCCGACAUGAGGGCUAAGGUUAGCACAACUUCAUUGAUUUAGCUUAAUUCAAUUUUAAUUUUUUAAUACAGCCCUGUUUUGAUUCGUGUUGUGAUUGAUAUUUACUUGUUUCACGAUCAUCCUUAUCUUCUAUGAAUGAUUUUUAUGCGUUCUCUAUACUGAAAUGUUGCGUUUGUAAUUCUAUGCUCUUAAAUAGUGAUGAAAAUUUCUUACGCUUUCAUACUUCUAGUUUUUCCUUAUUAGAUUACCUUGUCGUGCCAAAUACGUGUAAAGACCUAAGCUUUUUACCUGUGUUCGACUAUGCAAACCUAAUUUCGACUAUGUUCAUAUUAAGAUGUUGGAUGAACAAAUCAACAGAUGUUACUUGUUAAACUGUGGAUAUUGCUGCAUUUACCUACGUUUAUUUAUGAAAAAUUGAGAAAACGAAAAGGGGUUAGGGUUUCACUUGACUUGGAAGGUGAGAGAAUGUUGGUUCUUAAAUCUAGAGGCCCUAAAAGGAUGUCCAAACGUGAUUGCUAAUGCAUUGAUAAUUUUGGCUUGAAAACAAAAUUCUCCUGAGUAUGCGCUGCCUAUGCACCAUACUGUCUUUUAAGUUUAAUCUUGUUAAGUUACAUUCUCGUGCAUUUUACAGUGGAAGAAGAAGCGUAUGAGGAGGUUGAAGAGGAAGCGCCGAAAGAUGAGACAAAGAUCCAAGUAGAAGUUUGGACUAGGAUACCUGAGUGGGUCCUUUUGCAUGGACCAGCCUCUUCUUCAUUGGCCUUGGUUUUUCGGAUGAAUGGAAGGAAGUUCUGUAGAAAUAUGGAGUUGUCUUGUUUUCGAUUAUGUUCUUACUGAAGUGUUUUAGCUUAUAAUUAAGGAUUGUUUUGCAUUAUCAUUUCGAAUCUAAACAGAUUAUGAGACUUGUAUUGAACCUAUUCUAUCUAGUCUUCGCUUAUUUUUCUAUACUUUACGGAUUUUUGUUUCAGUUUUAAAAUUCUGCUUCUAUGUUGUGAUUGCAUUACACUCUUAAAAGAUGUCAAAGUUUAUUUUUAUCAUCAUUCUUUAUCGGAACCAAACAGGAUUUUGAGUUUAUUGGCAAGUAAAACAUGUAUGAUGAAGCAUUUUUACAAGCUGGAUUAUGUUAACUGUUAAUUCAAUAUUUUGUUAUUCCUCCCCAUCUCUUGUCCUCCAUUAUUUAUUUAUCGUCAUUGUAGUCAUCAACUAGCA